CCUACGGGGGGCUGCAGUCGAGGAUCUUUAGCAAUGCCCGAAAGGGUGACUAUGCGACGCCGCGUGUGGGAUGAAGGCCUUCGGGUCGUAAACCACUGUCAGGGAGGAAGAAACCUUACGUGUUAACAGCGCGUAAGCUGACAUCACUCCCAAAGGAAGCCACGGCUAACUCUGUGCCAGCAGCCGCGGUAAGACAGAGGUGGCAAGCGUUGUUCGGAUUUAUUGGGUGUAAAGGGUCCGUAGGUGGUCUAACAAGUCUGAUGUGAAAUCCCAUGGCUCAACCGUGGAACUGCAUUGGAAACUGUUGGACUUGAGUACCGCAGAGGUAAAGGGAAUUCCCGGUGUAAGGGUGAAAUCUGUAGAUAUCGGGAGGAACACCAGUGGCGAAGGCGCUUUACUGGGCGGUUACUGACACUGAGGGACGAAAGCGUGGGGAGCAAACAGGCUUAGAUACCCCAGUAGUC
rnacentral:rRNA from 1 species